rnacentral:rRNA from 1 species
UACGAAGGGUGCAAACGUUGCUCGGAAUUAUUGGGCGUAAAGCGCACGUAGGCGGCCUUAUAAGUCGGAUGUGAAAUCCCUCGGCUCAACUGAGGAAGUGCAUUCGAAACUGCAAGGCUCGAGUAUGGAAGAGGGUCGCAGAAUUCCCGGUGUAGAGGUGAAAUUCGUAGAUAUCGGGAGGAAUACCAGUGGCGAAGGCGGCGUACCU